rnacentral:lncRNA from 1 species
AUGGAAACCUCAACUAUGGUGGAGUACAAAAAGACACAGCUCCAGCAGGUCACACAGUACCACCAGCAAAAACAGGCUCUCGCAGAUACUUUACACAACCUGAACAAUGAGCUCAGCGCACUAACACAGGAUUGCAUUGAAAGCAGCACCUUGCAAGUGGAGAAGCUUAAUGCAUUCCUGAAGAACAUGCAGAAGAAGAGAGACGUACUAGAGGAGCUCCUACAGACAUGCUCUCAGAUUUCAGCCCAUCUGGGUGAGACAGAGGGACCUGUGACCUGUAUUGAACCUUUUAGGACUUUACAGGAGAGAUGGCAAACUAUGAAGCAGACUGCUUCCAGCAAACUGUGGUGUGCUAACAUCUGCACAGCAGAAGUAGCUGCACUCCUGCAAGAAGCCAGAGAGCUGCACCAUGAACUGGAGCUUCUGGAGAAGUCAGUUUCUCCGCAUCCAUCUCAAGGACAGAUGGAAAGCCAAAGCGCGCUACAAGAGACUGUGAAAACUGCAGACCUGGCAGUGUUAACGCAGCGCUACUUGUAUCUUCUUGAGGUCUCUCAGGCUCUUUCCUCAAGUCCACUUGGAAAAAAAGAGCUCAGAGAUGUGGAGGACGCAAUGCAGGGCUUGAAUUCUCAGCUUGCUCUGACUCAGGAGAACAUCAGCACUCAGACUUCAAAUGGUAAUGGUUCCUCACCGAUCAUGAGGAUUAUCAGGGACUAUGUUACAUGGGCUAAGCAAACAGAAAGCAAAGUCAGUAGCAGAAGAAGGUUGUCUCUGUUUCCUGAAGAAGCAAGUCACCAGGUCAGUCACAUGAAGAAACUGCAGUCUGAAACAUCUCGUAAGAGGUUUCAGUUGGCCUCUGUUUUGAAAGAGCUUAGAGAAGAACUUACAGGACUCAGUAAGGAGGAUCCCAUGUCACCCACCCUCGAUGCCCUAGAGGAUUUGUAUGUUAAGCUUACAGAGAAGACUGAAUGUGCUGUUGCAGAAAUGAACAGAAUGUUUCAUAUUAGAGAAAGACUGUGGAAACAGAUCACUGACAGCAGUUCUUGGUUGACCUCAGUAUUAGAAAAAGAGUCUGGUAAAACAGUGGCUUCUGAACCUAAAACUACUAUCCCAGAAUUGAGGGUUCAGCUUCAGGUGUGCACAGAGGCUUUGAAGGAUGCUGAGAGACAAGCAAAUAAUCUGGAGACUCUGUUAGAUGAAAUGAAAGAAGUGAAACACGGCCUGAAUGUACCCGAAAGCUUUCAACUCAUCAAUAGGCUAACAGCCUUACAAAAAGAGGUAUCUAGGGUUGUGAACCGUAAGUGGGCCUUGCACAGGGUGCUUGAAGAACUCAUUCAUGCUCAGGAAUCUUCUGCUGAGGAACAGAACAUCACUCUGAAGAGCUUGAGACAGAUGAAUGCUGAUGUCACGAGGCAGAAGUAUCCCGUAACAAGGGACUCACUCUUGGCUCUUGAACCUGUUAAGCACAUGCUGAUGGAGCUCCUCUGCAAAGUGCCAGAAAUUCCCUACUGUCCAGAUCCUCGGAGGAAAGAGAUGCUCAAUGCUGUGCUAGACCUACAAAGAAGAAUACAUCUGCUGGAGCUGCAAGCCAAAGAGCAUGAGGAGUACCUCAUUUUAAGGCAGCACAUGGAGAACUCCAGAGAGGCGGUGAAGAAGAGCUUGUUGCAGAUUGAAGACUCAAGUGUAGGAGAUGACGUAAGGCUCCGCUUUUGUCAGACUGUCCUGGUGGAGCUGCCUUUGGUGAGAAUGACAUGUCAAGAAGCCUCUGACCACCUUGAGGCCAUUCUUGAGGCCAUUUCGAAAGAUCUCUAUCCAUCCCAGCUGACAGCAGAAAGGCACAAAAUCCAUUUAGUCAUUGAGCAGCUAGCCUCUUGGGAGCUCACAGUAAAAAAAGAGGCUAAAACCAUUGAGUGCUGUCUGGUAGAGCGACUCGGCAGUCCGACGGACCUCAGUCCACUCACUGAGCUCUUCAACAGUGUCAGAAAGGAGCUGAAAGAAACCUUCUGCUUGGAGCCAGAUUAUAAGACCAUUGAUACACAGCUACGAAAGCACUGGAUGCUAAUCCAGACCGUUGAGUCUGUUCUAAGAAUAUUGGAGCACUAUAGGAAUGAAGAAGAUGUUGAAAGCUACCAGAUGACCAUCGAUCUCGGCCAGAAAACUCUUAAUGAUUGCGGUAUGCAUAUGGUAAGCUCCAUGCAUCCAUGCAUGUUAAACUGACAUGCCACUAGAAUGCUACUUUUUGAAACAUUGAAGUUUACCCAGCUCUAGUUUUUAGAAAGCUAUGAAUGUUCUUUAUCCAAUAUUUUUUACAUUUUGAGUUUCGUUGUCCAGGACAAGCUGCUCCAAGCUCGGGAGGCACUGAAGCAUUACCACUGGGCUGUUCAGGGUGCAGAGAGCUUCCUUCAGCAGAUUGGAUCCAGUCUCAUGAUCCCCUCUGAUAGCUUCAAAGACUACAAAGAGGAGCAUCGCUAUGUUCAACAGAUUUUCAGCACUCUGGUUACGGAUUUCCAGGCUCGCUUGUCUGACGUUGGUGCUUCUGUUCCCCAGCAGACAUGCCUCUCCAUCCCUCUAACUGAGCAGCUUCAUAUCGAGGUUUUGAGUCACCUUCUAGUACAAGAUGCCAAAUUAGAAGCUCAGGCUCAGCUCAGACUUGAGUCCAUACAGAGGUUCGUCAUAUAAAGCAUGUUAUAGAUUGUUUAUUCUUUAAAAAUUUAACAACUUUGAGCUAUGAUUCAUAUGAUUGUUGUUGACAUUUUUGUAUCAUAUUGGAAAACCA